GGUCCUAUAGCUCAAUUGGUCAGAGCGCCCGGCUCAUAACUGGUAGGUUCCUGGUUCAAAUCCAGGUGGGAUCACCA
rnacentral:tRNA from 1 species